CACGUAGUUAGCCGGUGCUUUUUCUGCAGGUACCGUCACCCGAAGCUUCUUCCCUACUAAAAGAGGUUUACAACCCGAAGGCCGUCAUCCCUCACGCGGCGUUGCUGCAUCAGGCUUGCGCCCAUUGUGCAAUAUUCCCCACUGCUGCCUCCCGUAGGAGUCUGGGCCGUGUCUCAGUCCCAGUGUGGCCGGUCACCCUCUCAGGCCGGCUACCCGUCGUCGCCUUGGUGAGCCAUUACCUCACCAACAAGCUGAUAGGCCGCGAGUCCAUCCAUCACCGAACCAGUCUUUCCAGCAGCUGACCAUGCGGUCGCUGCUCGUAUCCAGUAUUAGACGCCGUUUCCAGCGCUUAUCCCAGAGUGAUGGGCAGGUUACUCACGUGUUACUCACCCGUUCGCCACUCAUCCACCCCAGCAAGCUGGGGCUUCAGCGUUCGACUUGCAUGUGUUAAGCACGCCGCCAGCGUCGUCUCGUGCCACGGAGU
rnacentral:rRNA from 1 species